rnacentral:rRNA from 1 species
GAUGAACGCUGGCUACAGGCUUAACACAUGCAAGUCGAGGGGAAACGACGGGGAAGCUUGCUUCCCCGGGCGUCGACCGGCGCACGGGUGAGUAACGCGUAUCCAACCUGCCUCUGACUGAGGGAUAACCCGUCGAAAGUCGGCCUAAUACCUCAUGGCAUCGUCUGCGGGCAUCCAACGACGAUUAAAGAUUUCAUCGGUCAGGGAUGGGGAUGCGUCUGAUUAGCUUGUUGGCGGGGUAACGGCCCACCAAGGCUACGAUCAGUAGGGGUUCUGAGAGGAAGGUCCCCCACAUUGGAACUGAGACACGGUCCAAACUCCUAUGGGAGGCAGCAGUGAGGAAUAUUGGUCAAUGGGCGGGAGCCUGAACCAGCCAAGUAGCGUGCAGGAUGACGGCCCUAUGGGUUGUAAACUGCUUUUAUGCGGGGAUAAAGUGAGGGACGUGUCCUUCAUUGCAGGUACCGCAUGAAUAAGGACCGGCUAAUUCCGUG